AUCCUGCAAUGCACAGAGACCAUUAGUUCUGAUGACCAAGAACAGUGUAAAAAAGUGUAAGUCUAGCUAUCCAAAAACCAUAAAAGUCGAGACUAAAAAAGUGUAUAUCAACUGGAUGGAAAAACUAAUGUCCAUGUCUAUCAAGGGAGCUGUUGAUCGGAAUACAAAAGAUUGAAGGCGGAAAAAAAAAAAAAGUUGAGAGGUCCGCACCUAUAAAUUCUUGGAAAUAACCAGAACCUGCUACAGCUACAAAUGUCCUAGAAAGCAAGAGUAACAUUAGAAGGAAAGCCUUGACAAUAAAUGCAAAGUAACCCGCAAAUAUUUUUUGAUUUCCAAGUUUUCUUGGUGGAUAAAGCACGCGAGGAUUAAACGUGCAUUUCUAGACUAAAAACUUCCUCUCCUUUUUUGGUCGAUUCGUUUUGGUUCAUCAAACAGAUUUUUCUUAACGAUUCAAAAAGACCUGUUUGAUCCCAAAAAACCAAGAGAAGAUAACGAUUUGUUAACAAAAGAAAACAUCCAAAGAGAAAAACAAAGGCAUGCGAUAACAGGAAUCUAGGGGGGGAAGUCAAAAGCAAAAACAUCAUAAGCCCUCUGUUUAAGCAAUGCUUGAAUUAAAAAAAAAAAAGAGAGAGGAAAGAAAGCCUUUUUUUAUGAGAAAACUAUAGAAUCUACACGAUGAAAGUGUUUUCCAAUACUCCGCGGCUUGGUCGAACCAAGCCUCCGCCGAUAAGUUUAAAAAGAAAAAAUCCAAAGAUGCACAACAAAAGCCCCCAUCCAAACUUCUCAUCCUAUUAGUAAAAUGCUUUCAGUUCAGACACAAAGUUUCAACGUGCAUUUUUUUUUUAACUUUGAGACAACGACAAUUGCAAUUGACUUUUCUGUUCAUAGUUUUUUCCAAGACAACCUUUGACGGAUAUUUAGAAUCGUACCAUGCAAUCCUCAUAGUCAUCUAAAUCCAGGGGGAGAAAAAAACCAAAAAAAAUGAGAGAGCUAACCAAACA
rnacentral:lncRNA from 1 species